rnacentral:rRNA from 1 species
UAGGGAAUCUUCCACAAUGGGCGAAAGCCUGAUGGAGCAACGCCGCGUGAGUGAAGAAGGUUUUCGGAUCGUAAAACUCUGUUGUAAGGGAAGAACAAGUACAGUAGUAACUGGCUGUACCUUGACGGUACCUUAUUAGAAAGCCACGGCUAACUACGUGCCAGCAGCCGCGGUAAUACGUAGGUGGCAAGCGUUGUCCGGAAUUAUUGGGCGUAAAGCGCGCGCAGGCGGUCCUUUAAGUCUGAUGUGAAAGCCCACGGCUCAACCGUGGAGGGUCAUUGGAAACUGGGGGACUUGAGUGCAGAAGAGGAAAGUGGAAUUCCAAGUGUAGCGGUGAAAUGCGUAGAGAUUUGGAGGAACACCAGUGGCGAAGGCGACUUUCUGGUCUGUAACUGACGCUGAGGCGCGAAAGCGUGGGGAGCAAACA